CUUCAAGAUUCAGCAAAGAUGAAAUUUCCUCCAGGAAGCCUUUCUCUGACCCUUGUAAGAUCACCUGUCUCAAGGGCAACACCUGAGCUUCUGCCCAAGCCCAACUCCCCUCUUCAGGAACCAGCCAAUGGAUGUCGCCAACACCCAGGUCUUUUGGCACAGGGGCGGGAUUUCAUCUCCUCUGACUUCUUCAUCACACAGAAGGGCUAGUGAUAGGCAAUACGACACUCUCUUGUGAUGCUGGACAGCGGAAGCGAGCCAUAGCGCCCAGUCAGCCACGUGAUCGUGGGGUAAACAACUGAUACCUUUCCAACC